UACGUAGGGUGCGAGCGUUAAUCGGAAUUACUGGGCGUAAAGCGUGCGCAGGCGGCUUUGCAAGACAGAUGUGAAAUCCCCGGGCUCAACCUGGGAAUUGCGCUUGUGACUGCAAAGCUGGAGUGCGGCAGAGGGGGAUGGAAUUCCGCGUGUAGCGGUGAAAUGCGUAGAUAUGCGGAGGAACACCGGUGGCGAAGGCAGUCCCCUGGGCCUGCACUGACGCUCAUGCACGAAAGCGUGGGGAGCAAACAGG
rnacentral:rRNA from 1 species